rnacentral:lncRNA from 10 species
GUGUCUGUACCGGUGCUGCAACGGGAGGGUCGGGCGGCGACGCUCUCACUGCCGGGCCAGAAGGAGGCCUCCCGGCUCCCUCACGCUAGAAGGGAGCUGGUUACCAGAGGUUUUCAGAGACGCCAAAGUUUUGCCAGUCAUGAGUUGCUUAAAGACUGGGAUGCUUUCUAAGAAACGUGUCACUUUGCGAUUUCAUCAUUGUGUGAACGUGAACACAAACCCAGAUGGUAUAGCCUACUACACACCUAGGCUAUAUGGUAUAGCCUAUUGCUCCUAGGCCACAAACUUGUACCUGUACUG